UGACCGCCUGGAUGGAUGUCCCCGCUGUGUGCCCAGCACAGCGCCCAGGAUGCAGAGGACCGGGCCAACCCCACAUCCUGCAGUGUAGGAGGCUCGGCUCCUGGAGGAGCCAUCUGGACGGGGAAGGAAGAGCCGAGGAGUUAGAAUUUUAUUUCCAGGAGCCCCGUCGAAAGGUUUUAAGCAGUGGAGUGACAAUAUCAAGUUUUCUUUCUGAAAGAGGCUUCUGGCUCUGAGUGAGCUGAUGGGAGGGGAGCCAGGCGGAGAGGAAACCAGUCAGGAAGACCAGUGAAGAACACAAGUCAUGGUAUGCCUUCUGUUUGGGAACAGUUUCCUUCUCCACCUAGCUAACCCCUGUUUUCCUAAGCGUGGAGAUGUGGCACAAUCAGCUCCCCGAGCCGCACUGCCUUUUCCUGCAGCUGCACAUCUGUGAUUCUCCCCGCUUCAGAUCAGGCCCCUGGAGUUUGCAAAGCCCUGGGUGAAUAUCGCACAGGAGAGAAGCAGCCAUAGUAAGUCAGUGCCCCACAUGUGCAGGAAACAUUCUCCAGGCAUGGUUGUUGGUGGCUGGCUGCAAGUGCAGCCUGGGAGCUGGGCGUUCGGGAGGCCUCACUCAGGGGCGAUGUGGGUGCUAUCAGCCCAGAGCUCCUCGUGGCACACUUGCAAGGAUUUAGGAUACUAAACUCACUCUUAAGGUGAGGCACUGCUGCCCGUGUUUUAUAUUUUGUGUAUGACCGAUUGUUUUGAUUGCUCUAGGUAUCUGACAUUGUCCACUUCGGUGAGUGCUGUGGGCAAAAUGCCACAGAACACUGCUUUCCAUUUUUAAAAAGCCAGGGUUGAAAAUGUCUAUCCAUUAGCGUGUAUGUGAACAUUGAGUGAGUAAGACGGGAGUGUGAUCAGACGCGACAAACAGCUCAUGUUCUGAGCAUCUGGAACAGUCCAGGGUGGAGUUUGUGCUCUGCAUCUGGGGCUGCAACCCCGGGACCACACUGGGGUCACCCAAAGCAGGCACCUGGCGCGUCAAGGCAGUGCCACCUUCGGGUAGAACCUCUCCCCCUGCGGCCACAGCUCUCUCGCUGGAGACUGGGGUGAAGAACCAUCAUUCCGGUGACUCCUUGCCAAACCAUCAUGACUAAAGUCCCACACCGGAACUCUGGGAACAGCAAUGCUAUUUGUGAAGAGGCAUCACUAUGCGGAGAAGACCUGGACUGCUUCCUCUGCUGGCCCCCGGCGACCCCACACAACCGCUGAGGAGGGCGGUAAAAGUCCUAAAGGCCUUUGAAUCUUUUGACCCAGUAAUUUCAUUCAAGGGUUGGCCCGAGGAAGUAUCUGAUAGUGGGAAAGGCCAUGGCACAGAAACACCCAUCGUGUUAUAGAACUUGGAAGCAAUCUCAUGCUCAGUAUUCAGGGAAUGGUGAACUCAAUUACUGCUCAUUUACUUACAGGAACAUUACCCAGCCAAUAAGCUUGAUCAUUAUGCAGAUUAUGUAAAACCAUGAACAUACUAAUUAAGUUAAAUGAAACAAGCAACAUUCAAAUUAUAUAAAGUCAAUGAUUACAAUUCUGAAAAAGACCAAUAUGUGGGCAGAGACUAGAGGAAAAUGAACAAAAAUUAAUGAUUUUUAUGUCUGGUAGGAUUAUGAGUGAAUUUUCCUCCUCUUUUUUUUUUUUAAACUUUCAUUUAUUUUCUUUUUGUAUUAUCUUCAUAGCAAUACAAUACAAAGGUCUUUUUAACACAUGAUUGAUCCUUAAAGUUGGAACACAGAUCUGUGUCAGAUAAGUGAUGUUAAUGCUGUUACUUGCUAGAGAAAUAAAUACGGAGAAGCGUAAGGCUUCCCUGGACAGAUCAUUUAAAAACUUGAUAAUCCAAAUCAUGCUUAGAAAGCCUUUCUGAUUUCCAAGAAGACAAAGUUGUUUUGAAAUAAAUGGUGACUAUUAUAUUUUAGGUCACAUCCACAUGGCAGUAGAGCUGCCCCUCCACAUUCAGAUCCAUUCAAUGAAGUUCUGAACGUGCAUUUUCUAUAGGAAAAUACAGGCUGCCUCAUGGCAGUCCCCGAACACAUACUGCAGGGAAAAGCAGACACUACCCACAUCUGAGAGGCCUGGAGAAUGGCCCUUGGGAGCAUUGGUGCAGGUUACGAUGGAGAGGCCACGUGCGGUAGGGUGAAGAAAGAUUCAAAGACUUCUACACUCACCAUUAUUACUCAAUAUUCUGGACGUUGUGGCUAACACAGUAAGGCACACACCAGAAAUAGAAGAUGAUUAUUUGAAGGGACAAGGCAACAUGGCCAUUGCAUAAUGAAACAAUGCGAUCCACUCCCUAGAAUAUCCAAGAGGCAACUAAAAACUGGAAAAGGGAAUCAGAGAGAUGAACGAAGUGACUCAACUAAAAAAAAUUUUUUUUUAAAUCAAUAGGUAUAUUUUCCAUAUCAACAGCAACAGAUUAGAAGUUAUCAGGAAACCCAUUUUACAAUAGGGAGUGGGAAAGAAAGACAAGUGAAAUAUUUAAAUAACCUUAUUGGCAAAUAGGAGUGAUCUGGGUUGUGAGAAUUAAUAAUGGAAACCAACUGAAAUUGGAGUUUGAGAGGCCUGUCGAGGCAGUGGUCACACCCUACCACCUCAUCCAUUACCCCAAACAUGAAAAGACCAGACCUUGGCAUCUCCAACAGGAAGAUGUAUUAUGUGCUGACUACCCCUGGAGGAAGAAGGAAGAUUUUCUUCUGGACCAGCAACAAGCCCAGCCAAUGGAAAAACACCUCAACUCAGCCAAUGAGAAGCCUUCAUCACCCUGAACUCUUUUCUCCAAUGAACUUUGAUGUUUCUUUUGCAAUUACUUCCUUGCCCUAGUCUCCUUUCUAUAGAAGCCUUCCAUUUCAUACAACUCCUUGGAGUUUCUCUCUGCUUGCUAGAUGAUAUGCUGCCCAAUUUAUAAAUCACUUAAUAAAGCCAAUUAGAUCUUCAAAUUUA